CUUUGGCAUACAGGAGCUUCAGGAACUUCAGGCAGGGCACUAUGAUUUCUCGCAAUAUCAUCAAUUCAACAAGCAGUUACUCGAAAUUCCAUCGCCCCAAAUGGCAUAGGAUACCUCGGGCGUCCAACUUCUGGCAUAAGUUUUUGUGCAUUCAAAAAUUUAGGAACCUGAACCACAAGGGCAAAUGGAAGGCACCUUUGAUCGGUAAUCCAGAGUACAUGGAUGAUUCUUACACCUAUGCUUUUGAUAGGCUGAUGCACAUUGGCGUUGAGCCAAGGUAGGUUAGUGCUUCACAAGGACCAACUCUAAGCAUGACUUGUGCAGAUAUGGGAAA